rnacentral:tRNA from 1 species
GUGGGGAUGUGGCUCAAGCGGUAGCGCACUCGCCUGGCAUGCGCGGGGCGCUGGGUUCGAUCCUCAGCACCACA